rnacentral:lncRNA from 1 species
CACCAUAGCUGAGUCACCAGCUGAAUUCAAAGCUCGAUUCUUCUAUCUAAAAAUCUCAUUCUGAAGAAGUAUAGAAGUAAUCACAUCCAUCUUAAUGAUGCUCUUUUCCACAAGAAGAGCAAUCAUCAAACACUCAAAAGAAAGGAGAAAUGAUGAAAGCAAGACCAACGCCCUUGUCUUCUUCUCAACCUUCUCACUAAUGCUGAGGAGAUCAGUAAGGAUCUUCUGAAAGUUGCUGAGAUGCUCCUGUAUACUCUGUCCCUCA